AAAUUCCAUACUCUACUACUGACUUGCUUUCCGGUGUUCUGGUGAGAGAAAAUUUAGAAGCCAAGUUGUGCUAUAGGACAUAGGUCUUACAAUUAAUACUAAUCUUUAGGCACAGGACCAGGACCAUGUGGAUUGCAUCAUCUGGUUUAUGAAAUACUGAAUAAUGUUGUUGAUGAAGCUCAAGCAGGCUAUGCUACUGAGAUUAAUGCAGUCCUUCAUGAUGACAAUUCCGUUAGUGUAACUAACAACUGCCGUGGGGUAUGUAGUUCCUAAAACCUAUGAAAGACUUCCUGAA